CUUGCCAGGGAACUACGAGCCCCAGCUUAAAACCCAAAGGACUUGGCGGUGCUUAAGACCCACCUAGAGGAGCCUGUUCUAGAACCGAUAACCCCCGUUCAACCUCACCCCUUCUUGUCCAUCCCGCCUAUAUACCGCCGUCGUCAGCCUGCCCCAUGAGGGCACCACAUCAGGCAUAAUUGGUCCACCCCAAAACGACAGGUCGAGGUGUAGCAUAUGAAAGGGGAAGAAAUGGGCUACAUUCAGUGACCCACUGAAUAACGGACAAUGUUUUGAAAUAGACAUUUUAAGGAGGAUUUAGCAGUAAGUGGGAAGAAGAGCGUCCCCCUGAAAUUGGCCCUGAAGCACGCACACACCGCCCGUCACUCUCCCCAAAUAGCCCCAAAAACUUAAAUAAACCACCCCCUAAAGAGAGGGGAGGCAAGUCGUAACAUGGUAAGUGUACCGGAAGGUGCACUUGGAAAAAC
rnacentral:rRNA from 1 species